UACGAAGGGGGCGAGCGUUGUUCGGAAUUACUGGGCGUAAAGGGCGCGUAGGCGGCCCGCUAAGUCGAACGUGAAAUCCCCAGGCUCAACCUGGGAACUGCGUCCGAUACUGGCAGGCUUGAAUCCGGGAGAGGGAUGUGGAAUUCCAGGUGUAGCGGUGAAAUGCGUAGAUAUCUGGAGGAACACCGGUGGCGAAGGCGGCAUCCUGGACCGGUAUUGACGCUGAGGCGCGAAAGCUAGGGGAGCAAACGGG
rnacentral:rRNA from 1 species